UACAGAGGUCCCAAGCGUUGUUCGGAUUCAUUGGGCGUAAAGGGUGCGUAGGUGGCGCCGUAAGUCGGGUGUGAAAUUUCGGAGCUUAACUCCGAAACUGCAUUCGAUACUGUGGUGCUUGAGGACUGGAGAGGAGACUGGAAUUUAUGGUGUAGCAGUGAAAUGCGUAGAGAUCAUAAGGAAGACCAGUGGCGAAGGCGGGUCUCUGGACAGUUCCUGACACUGAGGCACGAAGGCCAGGGGAGCAAACGGG
rnacentral:rRNA from 1 species